rnacentral:rRNA from 1 species
ACGGGAGGCAGCAGUAAGGAAUAUUGGUCAAUGGACGCAAGUCUGAACCAGCCAUGCCGCGUGAAGGAUGAAGGCCCUCUGGGUUGUAAACUUCUUUUAUAUGGGAAGAAACCUUUGUUUUCUAAGGGAGUUGACGGUACCAGAGGAAUAAGCACCGGCUAACUCCGUGCCAGCAGCCGCGGUAAUACGGAGGGUGCGAGCGUUAUCCGGAUUCACUGGGUUUAAAGGGUGCGUAGGUGGGUAUGUAAGUCAGUGGUGAAAUCUCCGAGCUUAACUCGGAAACUGCCAUUGAUACUAUUUGUCUUGAAUAUGGUGGAGGUGGGCGGAAUAUGUCAUGUAGCGGUGAAAUGCAUAGAUAUGACAUAGAACACCAAUUGCGAAGGCAGCUUACUACACAAAUAUUGACGGUGAGGCACGAAAGCGUGGGGAUCAAACAGGAUUAGAUACCCUGGUUGUCCACGCCCUAAACGAUGAUUACUCGACAUGAGCGAUACACUGUGGGUGUCUGAGCGAAAGCGUUAAGUAAUCCAC